rnacentral:rRNA from 1 species
UACGGAGGGUGCGAGCGUUAUCCGGAUUCACUGGGCGUAAAGCGCAUGUAGGCGGAUGUCUAAGUCGUGUGUUAAAGCCCCUGGCUCAACUGGGGGAGGUCAUGCGAGACUGGAUGACUUGAGGGCAACAGAGGCACGUGGAACUCCCGGUGUAGCGGUGGAAUGCGUAGAGAUCGGGAAGAACACCCGUGGCGAAGGCGGCGUGCUGGGUUGCAACUGACGCUGAGAUGCGAAAGUGUGGGGAGCAAACGGG